UAGUUGUUAAGUUGUUUUAAAUACUAUAACUUGAAAACCAUUGUGAAUAAACAUACAUAAUUAAACUUCCGUGGGAUGUAACGGGGCGCAUAGUAAACUAUUUCAUGAAUGCAAUAGAUUAAUUAGAAUUUUAAUUUACUUUAUAAAAAGCAAUUCGUCUUUGAAGAUGUUAAGAGUAGUCAAGUUUCAGCAUUUUAAACUGACUACAUUCAUGUAAAAUGUAUCAAAUUUAUUGUUUGUUUCUUUUACUGUCAACAUGAUUCCAUACUCAUGGAACAAAAAAUAAAAAUAAAAAAGUGUUGACUUCGACAAAUUCAUAAUUUAAAAAUGUCAAAAACGAAUAAUAGAGGAACAGACUUAUACUUGUUACUAAAAACCGAAUAAAAAUUGAAAUUGGAUUACAGAAUGAAGUAUUUCUCAAAGAACAAAUUAAUAAAUCAAACAAACGUCACGAAUAAAUUGCUAUACGUUGAUUAUUCAAAUAAAACUUUAUCCAUUCUUGAUAUCUACCCGCAGGUUAUUCAAAACUCAGUUCCUAUUUCGUCGAUAUAUGAAUUUUUUCAAUAACUCGAAACUCAAAUAGCUCAUACGUAUACUAAAAUAUCUAAAAAUCUCUAAAACAGUUUCUUUAAAAUUUUGAAGCACGACUACUCUCUGUCAAAUGCUACAAGAUACAUAUACGCCAACGAUUGUUAAAUUUCGAUGAGUAAAUGUAUCGAUAUAAAUAGAUGUUUAAGUUAACCACGCUUUCCUGUACGUAAGCAAUUUCCUUCGGAAUGUUUUUCACCAGCUAUUUGUAAGCGUUUGAAGAAGGUCAGUUUCCCCAGGAAAACCUCUCUCGUGAUCUAUGUCACGCUUUGAUUUUCACCUUAAUUGCACAGUUUCAGAGACCACUCCAUAAUUAACACAGUUCAGCUCUCGGCGAGAAGGGAGAGGCGUGGCGGGCUGGUGUUUUGCCCCCGUGUUCCUUUCGUGCUAAUUUAUAUCGAUAGAGAACGAUGGCGCAUAUCCGCACUAUACGAGUAUCGGCCUGAGUAUAAUAACGUUAACGCGUCAACCUGGCGGAUCCUGUAAAUACGAGUAAAUAGUCUAAAUAAUUAUAGAAAAAGAUACAAGGGCAAGGCGGAGCGUUCCUGUGGCGCGGACAAGUUUCUAAUCGUGUUUACCAAAGCCCAGAGCACAGGUGUCAAUUUCAAAAUUAAAGGGAGGAGAGGGAAAAAUGAGAAAAGGGAGAAAGUAAGGGAGAUUCUGUACGCGUCGCGUGGAGCACUCGGUUCUGCUUCGCAUUGAUUUAGAGUAAGUUCACCGAAGCGUCCGGUUAGGUAUCAUGUUAUGGCCGCGUGUUGAUCUCACAAGCGAAAUGAUCCAAACAUCUGGAAUCGAUUCGACUUUUGGUGAACAUUCUUCGAGGAAAAACGAAAAUUAAAUACCACUUUUCAUUCGAUUUGUUUAACUAUUUCAUUUCACUUAUCCAUAAUUACAUAAAAAUAAAAACGAAGAUAAUAGUGUUUCUUUGUAUUAUGUUGUAUUAUGUAAUGUGUAAUAUAAGUUAAAAUAUGUGUAGUGUAAGCAAAAGUAACUUACGUUAAACUAUGAAGAAGAAGCAAGCCCCGUUGAAUAAUUACUAACAGUAUAAUAAGAAUCAAACUUUUCAUAACUUUGACUUAUUGCUUUUCAUUUAGUUUUUAAAGAAUAUUUUUAUUUCGUCUGAGGAUGACCAGUGAAUACAAUUAAUCUUGUUCAUGUCAUAUGACAAUGUUCGUUGUUCAUCAGUAGGAACGACAUGAUACGUGACUUUUGUAAUAGUGGGGUCUAUUCUUCUUUCCUCAAUGAACACGUCUUUAUGGAUAAACCAUUUGUUGCGUCAUUAUUGAUUGUGCAUAAACUUAAUACUUAUUGUUUGCACGUGUGUAUGUAUAUUUGUUAUCAAUUAAUCUUUAUAUAUAAAAUCCAUUCUA